rnacentral:rRNA from 1 species
UGGGGAAUAUUGCACAAUGGGCGCAAGCCUGAUGCAGCCAUGCCGCGUGUGUGAAGAAGGCCUUCGGGUUGUAAAGCACUUUCAGCCGGGAGGAAGGCGAUAAGGCUAAUAACCUUGUCGAUUGACGUUACCCGCAGAAGAAGCACCGGCUAACUCCGUGCCAGCAGCCGCGGUAAUACGGAGGGUGCAAGCGUUAAUCGGAAUUACUGGGCGUAAAGCGCACGCAGGCGGUCUGUCAAGUCGGAUGUGAAAUCCCCGGGCUUAACCUGGGAAAUGCAUUCGAAACUGGCAGGCUAGAGUCUUGUAGAGGGGGGUAGAAUUCCAGGUGUAGCGGUGAAAUGCGUAGAGAUCUGGAGGAAUACCGGUGGCGAAGGCGGCCCCCUGGACAAAGACUGACGCUCAGGUGCGAAAGCGUGGGGAGCAAACAGG